CUUCGAAACUAUACUUUAUGGACGAACAAAAGGAAAAGAUGAAUAUGUCAGACGCAUGUUUGAUCCGUAGUUCGAAGAUCAGCUGGAAAGUCUAUUCCCGGCUUUUCACUCGAGCCUGGAAUUUUGCAGACACACCGUGUAUAGAUUUUUGGCAGAGUCCUCCGGUUCUUAACCGGCGACUUCUCGCUUCUUGACGCUCUAGAUCCACGUCCACGUGCAAACAGCGCAGACUCGACUCGUUGCUCUUCCUCUGGCAAAGGUGUAUAUGCAUGCCAGUCAGAAGACCUUCAGUCUGACGUUAAACGUUCAAUUCCGCGGGUAGCUAUUGCGUCGCUUCGACAGUACGAAACACCCACGCGUUCACCCGUUUCGUUUUCCCGAAACGCAUCGAACAUCGAUUGUUGUUCCACGGUCUCGUUUCGCGAUUUCCUUCUGUCUGUCGACUCGACUUCUACUUGAUCGUCUCUGACGAUCGCUCGUGUUGUCCGCGAACCGGGAUUAAUCUCAUUGGGGUGUCUAUCGAUCGAUUUGUUCUUCGUGUAAAUUGAUCGAACGAUCGCAUUUUUUGUGCCAGACAAAUUUUUAACUUCGUACAUUAGAUUAUAUAAUUGUUCGAGGCUGUGAUGCAUAUUAUGAUCGAUCCAGUUGGAAUUUUAGCCGAUAGUAGUUAAGCACCGACGGCUGAAAUUGGACUUUUGGAGGGAACGAGAAUUAUUGACCUCACGGAACAACUGUAAAGUUCACUUUUACUUGAUGAAGCAUGAAACUACAUUGCGGCUCUUUGAGUCCGUGCUUCGAUAAAUAAAUAACCGGUGUCGGUAUCUUCGUCAUUGUCGUGCGUUUAUUUUUGGAAAAACGUGAGCGAUAAUAAUUUCGUGACAUCAUUAAUAAAAAUCAAGCCACGGCGCGCGCGUUUGUUGUCUCUAGUAAAAAUACACGUGUAGCAAGGUUUGCGGCUAAUGCGUUGGUGAUUUAAUGAUUCGAGCAUGAGAGACGUAAAACGCCUUGCAAGCACACGUCGGGAGUAGGAAUGUUAUAAAUCCUCUCUCAUGAGAGAGAUGAAAGUCUCUUUAUUUCUUUUCCCAUAAUUUUUAAAAGAGAGAGAGUGCUUGCAAAGAAUUUCACUGUAUCUCGACUUUAUUUUCGUUUGGACGGCCGUCAGUGUUGCCUGUGUUUGAACGUCAUUCAAUAAAUAUCGGAACCUGGUUGGAUUGUUCCUCUUUAUCGUUGGCCCAUUCUGCACACGCGUCAAUUUUUUCGUAAUCGAAAUCGCCACCAAUAAUUCAUCAUUAUUGGAUGUCUCGAUUAAAUUUUGAGACUAUGCCAGGUAUACCAAUUAAUUGGUAUCUUCAAAUUGAAGGAAACUAUUCGAAUUGUCGAUAAACAUCGAUCGAUGAUUUCGUCCAGUAAAAAAUUAUAUAUUUUAAUUCCUAGGUAAGAAAUCAUUAAUUCGGUAAAAUUUGUCGAGUCGAUAAAAAAGCUCGAUUUCUUGCGCGUGAUUGCAAAAGAUUUCAUAACAAAUUUCAAACGUUUG